UCUCUGCUCGUAUAUCGGUCAGUACACGCGCCUGUCAUCACCCACGACUACAUCAUCGAGCGCGCGAAAGCUGGGUUCAACUCCCAGGCAGAGAG